GUGGCGGCGCUCGGCGGGGCCCCGGUCACCCCCGGCCGCAGCGCUCGCAGAGUGCCUCUCCCGCCGGCACCUACGCCGGGCUGCAGCCGCUGCGCUCGCAUCGUCUCCAUCCCGGCCGGCGGCAGAGCUGGGCCCCGCGGCUGGCCAGCCUGGCGAGCUAACGGUCCCAGCGACCCCGGCAGCAGAGACUAAACAGAGACUUCGGAACACAUUUAUUUGACAUUUCAAGUGGUAAGAGGACUGACUUGGGCUUCCUCCCCACUUCUACCUGUAGGGGUGUUCAUAAGCUCAGACACACAGAAGAGCAACUUAGAGCCCAUGACCCACCCCCUGGGGUCAACAAGGCGGUCCCUAGUGGUGUGUGUUGGGUGGGUCGGGGGAGCAGGUGGGAAGAAAAAGCCGGAAGUUGAGGGCAUGAGAGGCAGCAACAGAACCGAGACCGGGAGCUGCUGCUGGAGCCUCAGAAAAGAGAAGAAGACAUCCUGAAAAGCGGAUGGAUGCCGGGUGUGAGCAAGGAGCCAGGCAUGGAGAAGCAAGACCUGCAGAACGGGGUGAGAUACUCGUGAAGAGAAAAUAGAGUAUGCGAGAGUAUGAUAGGCCACGUCUCCGGGCAUACAUAGAAAGCAAGGGAUUGCUUUUUCAGGAGAGCAAAGAUCCAGGAGACCAGCCUCAAGUGGGGGCUCCCUGCUGCUUCCGAAUAAAGGCCAGGGAGCCUGGGACCCUA